rnacentral:rRNA from 1 species
UACGGAGGGGGGCUAGCGUUGUUCGGAAUUACUGGGCGUAAAGCGCACGUAGGCGGCCUUGUAAGUUAGAGGUGAAAGCCCAGGGCUUAACCCUGGAAUUGCCUUUAAGACUGCAUCGCUAGAAUCGUGGAGAGGUGAGUGGAAUUCCGAGUGUAGAGGUGAAAUUCGUAGAUAUUCGGAAGAACACCAGUGGCGAAGGCGACUCACUGGACACGUAUUGACGCUGAGGUGCGAAAGCGUGGGGAGCAAACAGG